rnacentral:rRNA from 1 species
GACGAACCGUGCGAACGUUAUUCGGAAUCACUGGGCUUAAAGCGCGUGUAGGCGGGGUGGCACGUCGGUCGCUGAAAGCCCCCGGCUCAACCGGGGAAGGGGCGCCGAUACGACCACCCUGGAGGGACGUAGGGGGACCUGGAACUUCCGGUGGAGCGGUGAAAUGCGUUGAGAUCGGAAGGAACGCCCGUGGCGAAAGCGGGUCUCUGGGCCGAUACUGACGCUGAGGAGCGAAAGCGUGGGGAGCGAACAGG